rnacentral:tRNA from 1 species
GGCCCCGUAGCUCAGCGGUCAGAGCAGUCGACUCAUAAUCGAUCGGUCCCUGGUUCGAGUCCAGGCGGGGCUA